ACUCUGACAAACAGAAAACCUGAUCAACAACUGUUUUCACUACAACUGAACCUACAAGAACAACAAUGACCUUCAGCAGCAUAUUGAUCUGGACACUGGCAGCAUUAUGUGGAGAAUGUAUUGGUCAGGUGACAGUGACUCAAACUCCCUCAGUGCUGCUCUCUGAACCUGGACGAUCACUCACUGUCAAUUGCAGAUUCAGCAGUGAUCCAGAGUGUUGUUGCAAUAGUAAACAGUGUGUUAGCUGGUACUUACAGAAACCUGGAGAAGCUCCUAAACUUCUGAUCUAUGGAACAAGCACCCGAUAUUCAGGAACUGCAUCUAGAUUCAGUGGCAGUGAAUCUAACAGUGAUUUCACUCUGAGCAUCAGUGGAGUCCAGACUGAAGAUGCUGGAUAUUAUUACUGUCAGAGUUUACACAACAUCAACAGUAACGCUGUGUUCACACAGUGA